rnacentral:rRNA from 1 species
GAUGAACGCUGGCGGCGUUCCUAAUACAUGCAAGUAGAACGCUGAAGCUUGGUGCUUGCACCGAGCGGAUGAGUUGCGAACGGGUGAGUAACGCGUAGGUAACCUGCCUGGUAGCGGGGGAUAACUAUUGGAAACGAUAGCUAAUACCGCAUAAAAGUCGAUAUCGCAUGAUGUUGACUUGAAAGGUGCAAUUGCAUCACUAAGAGAUGGACCUGCGUUGUAUUAGCUAGUUGGUGAGGUAACGGCUCACCAAGGCGACGAUACAUAGCCGACCUGAGAGGGUGAUCGGCCACACUGGGACUGAGACACGGCCCAGACUCCUACGGGAGGCAGCAGUAGGGAAUCUUCGGCAAUGGGGGCAACCCUGACCGAGCAACGCCGCGUAAGUGAAGAAGGUUUUCGGAUCGUAAGGCCCUGUUGUAAGUGAAGAACGAGUGUGAGAGUGGAAAGUUCACACUGUGACGGUAACUUACCAGAAAGGGACGGCUAACUACGUGC